AGAUAAUGACAUGUAUUGAAGACAGAUAGUUGGGUAAAACUCCUUACAGGGUAGGGAGAAAAUGACAUGAACACUGGUGAAUCAACAUUUUCCUUCGAGUUUUGAAAAGGGGGGUGUUAUAAUUUGUAUUGUGUCAAAUGUGCCAUUGUCUUCUAGAUUUUGACAACUUUACUGAUGCCAAACAUUGUGUAGGAGUUUAGUGUGGAUGUCUAUCAUUAUUGAAUUGCUAUUAGUGAUUGAUUUUAUUGUAUUAUUUGUACACUGCAAAAACAGGGUGCGAGUAAGUUUGAAGAAAUUUUCAUAUAUAUUUAAUUAUUACAAACCAUUUAUUACUAGAACAACCAUUCGUCUGAUUAUAUUUCAUUUUCUUAAAAAAUAAUAAACUUUAUUUUAAAAC
rnacentral:sRNA from 1 species